AGUGGCCAUGUCAUAAGCAGCCCUAAGGAGAGGCCCAGGUGGCAAGAAACUGAGGCUUCCAGUCCUCUGUACAUGAAUGAGCAUGGAUGGAGAUUCUCCAGCCUAGUCAGCCUUCGGGUGACUGAAGUCCUGGCAGACCUCCUAGCUGUAGUCUCUUGAGAGCUCUUGAGCCAGAGGCACCCAACUAAGCCACUCCUGGAUUUCUGAUACACAGAAACGUCCGGACCUGGAAGUGACAAAGAAUAGUUUCCAAAACUUGAAAGAAGAGGAGAUAAGAUUGGCUUUGAGAAGUUAAACUUCAAAAUCAGCACAUAUGGAUUAGAACAGAGAGAUACAAAAUCAUCUUAAAGCAGUGUUUAAGUGUCCUUCUGACUUGCUCUAAACUGAACCAAAAAUACAACUGCUUUCUUCUUAUCAAUCAGUGGUGGGAAAUACCAUGAAUGCUCUUUUUUUAAUGUGUGAAAAUCUCUCAGAAGAGUUCCUAGAACAACAAUAAGUGUUUUGCUUAUAACCAAGAGAAACUUAGUAAACCAAUAAGUGGAUUAUUAAAAAGAUAUCAAGAUUUGAUAUUCAUAAAUAAAGGAGUAUAUUACCAGAGUUUAUUAAGAACUCCCACUUGGUGUCCUAAUAAGAACUCUGGCUGCUACGUACAGUGCUGGGCAGCAUUCAUAUUCCUUGGCUGGUGGCCCCUCCUCCAUCUUCAAAGCCAGUGAAAGCAGGCUGAGUCCUUUCCCUGUUGCCAUCUCUCUAGCUUUCUGCAGCCAGGAAUGAUUCUUUGCUUUUAAGGACUCAUGCGAAUGGAUUAGACCCACUUGAAUAAUCCAGUGUAAUCUUCCCAUCUCAAGGUCCUUACCUUAAUCACAUCUGCAAAGUCCCUUUUGCCGUGUAGGUUAACAUAUUCACAGGUUCUGGGGGUUAGAAUGGCCUUUGAGGGCCAUUAUUCUACAUAUCACUGUGUGUGUGUGUGUGUGUGUGUAUAUAUAUAUAUAUAUAUAUAAGUAUAUUAUAUAACAAAUUCUGUAUAUAAAGAUAUUAACUCUACCUGUAUCAUAUAUUACAUAUUAUAAAAUAUGACAUAAUUAAAAAAUUUCUAUAUAUGUAUUGAAAAUUUAAAUUGAAAAUAAAAAUUUCUGUAUGUAUUUAUACACACACACACACACACACACACACAUAUGAAAUAGUGAAAUAUCUGAGUCUUUUUUCAUAGUUGCUUGUCACCAGUCUUACUUCUCUACUCCUUGCUCCAUACUUGUGACUUGAAUGGAAUGGCAUAUUUCUAUAUUUUCAUUUUUUCACUUGCUUCUGCCUUUAUUGAAGUGAUUAUAGCUGUUAGAUAGGCUGUGUUUAUAAGUAUUUAUGAAUAAACACCACCCCACCCCCAGCAGUAACUUAAAACUACACGGGCCUAAUUUCCCUCGUGUUUUAUCUCCCUUGUGGGGAGACCGAAAGGCUCUGCUCUGUGCUGUUCUUACUUGGGGACAACAGUGGAGGGAAAAUCAGCUCCUCAAUCUGCAAAGGCUGAGAAAAGGAAGGGAAUGUGGUGGAUUGUGCGCUCAUUCCUGAAACUUCACUUCCGGUCGCAUUUCAUCGACAAAGGCACAGCAUUUGGCCAAAUCUAAGUUCAACAUCUCACUGUAUAUUUAUGGAUAGACCUAGUGACUCCCUUUAAACAUACAUAAACAUCCUUUCAAAAGUCCACAUCCUUUAAAAUAGAACCAUAGGCUUUAUCGUGAGAAAUUGCAGUCCCCUGCUCCACUCUCUAGCAGCCACCACUUUAAAUUAUUUCAGUGAUUUCUUCCAGGAUUUACCUCCAAGUUUCUAAAUAACAUGUGUAUCAUUCUAUUUCCCGACUUUUCCAUUUUAGCCACCAAAUUUUUAAGGGUGGGGAAGGUUCAACUUAGCUCUCUUCCUCACACAUCAUGUUUACAACAUCAUGAUCCUGUAAACAUCACAUACAGCUUGAGCUAUGGUUUCACUUAUACUAUGGCUUCAUUGUCUUUCUCGUGCAUUGUCUUCUUAACAUGAAUUAAGUCCCCCCCCCCGUUUUUUUUACAUUUGCUUAGUUUUCUGUGCACCUAUUAUUAAUUUUCCCUGAGCUCUCUGACCAAGCUAUAAAACUUCUCUUAACACAUUCAGACACACUGAGCCCUUCAUUAGCUUCAUUCUGUUCUCAGAAACGUCCCUUGUUGGCCUUCCGUCCUCCUGAUCCAGCUUUGUGACAGGUUACUUUCUAAGUCUAUUUACACCCACAAUUCCUAUUCCUUUAAAGCUGCAGGUUUCUAAUCAAGAAGAGGGGAAAAAAAGACUAGAUGACUUCUGAAAUCCCUGCUCUCUGUUCUGGAACUGUGACACAGAGAUGAAUAUUAUGUGAAGCCCAAAUAAAUUCCAAGGAUUGGCUCUGCUUUGUGCCCCCUGGCUAAAGCUUCUCAUUUACCCCAGCUCGGCUACUGGGCCUGGGUCCUCACUGGUCCAUCUUAGGCUUUGGUCGCCUACUUUGACUUCUCCACUCCACAACUUUCAAGAUCUUGGUUGUCCUCUGACUUCUGUUAUCCUGGAACCAAUAACAAAAGAAGAAGAGUGAGGAGCAGCCUUAUUUUUAGGAAUUCCUGAAUUCCCAAGAUCCAGCCCUAGAAGCACUUCCAUAUUCUUGCUCCUCCUUUGUCCCAUUAGAAGCAAAAAUUAUUAGACUUUACUCAAAAAGUGGAAAAUCCAAGUCAUAGAGAAAAACAGUGUGAAAGUUAAUAUCUUGUUAUGCUCUUAUCUGGGAACUGAUUGAAUUUCUAAAAGCCCUUGAGGUGCUCCUGCUGGCAGCUGGGAUUGAAGGUUCAAAGCAGAGAAACUGAGCACGUGGGGGAAAUGCUUUUACUUUAUGAUUUACUUCUCACUCCUGACGAUGGGAUGCAAUGUGCUAGGGGGGAGUGGAAUGGGAAUAUAAAUAUUGCUAUAAUAAUGAGAAUGCUUUCAUACCUGGUGAGGCAGGGAGAAUGAUGAAAAUGGUUCUGAGACACUGAUGAAACCCAGAGUGGUGUGGUUCUGAGUGGAGAAUUUGUUAAGAAACCUGAGAAAUUUCUGCCUACUUUAGUCUACCAUCAAGGAAAUUAUCCCCCCUUAUUUUUUUUUAAACUCAUUUUCUGUUCUGUGUAGCACAACUGGAGAUUAGAAUAGAAGAGAUGUUCCUGGGGCCUUCUCUGAAAACAAUAGCCCCACCCCAACGACAGGGAAAGGAUUGAUGCUAGGAAUUACCAACUCGUAAAUGGAAAUUAAUACUGUAAUUAGCAAGGUAGGAAAAUCUAUCUUAUUGUAAAUUGUGAUACUUAUAGAUUGUGAUAUCCCCCCUGGGAUCACCAGGUUAUUUAAAAGGAAUAAAUCAGGAACCACAUUCAAGCCUAUAAGGAUGUCAGAAAUAUUCAGGGCAGACAUACACCUAAAACAGAUAAUACUUUCACCAGGGUUGUAAAACAGUGGAUAAAGUCAGUUUUUUAAAAGAUACACAUUUGUGAUUUUUGACACUUCUUAGAUGGAAAAUGUUUUCAGAUUGGCUUUUGAAUAUCAACAUUGUUACCUAGACAGCUUUCUAGCAAGCAGACUGAAGACAUUGGAUAAAAAGAUUAGUCUCACAAAAUACGAGGAGAUGAAUAUUGCAUUUCAAAUAAAAGCAGAAGUCUCCAAGGAUGAAAUAUAAACAUUUGAUAAACCUGCAGCUCUGAUAAAAAUCUAUAUAAUGGCCUUAACAUUUCUAUAGCUGUCCAAAAUAUGGAGCCUGCCUUCACAUCCAUUAACUCAUUUGGUUCUCAAGUGUGUGUGCGUGUGUACAUAGUAUGGGAAGAGGUAAAUGAGAGGAAUGUUAAAAAAAAAAAUCUUCAUUUUACAGAUGAGGAAGUGGAGCCCAGAAAGAUUCAAGCUCACACUGUCUCCCAGGUAUUAACAGACUGUGUGUAAUUAAUGUUACAUGCUCCUGAAUCAGAAUUUAAAUGGAGCCCAAAUGGAGCCCAAAUGGAGAUGCAACACAGAGAUGGCAUUCUAGCCACAGUAGUGUUGUGAUUUCAAGUUUAUUAGUUCAAGAAUGAAUCAAUGCAAGCAAUGUAGGAAAAGUACUCACCUCCCCACCUUGAAAAUUGAUUAAGGAAUAGCAGAAUUUAGUAUUGUCCCCAUUAUUAUGCCCACAUUUGACAGAUUGGUUAGAGCUCUGAUAGUUAUAGUGCAUCAUAGCCUGCCUUGAAUUGGGGCUCUACAUGAGUACGUGUCUUCCUUUCUGAACCGCGAGAGCUCACAGACCAGCAACCAGAUCUUUAAUAUGUUGUUUCCAUCCAGUGUAUAUCCCAGUGCCAGUGCUUCAUAAACAUGUAGAGUGGAAUAAACCAUGAGACACUUUGCAAUACCACCAAUUGGGUCAUGAUGUAGGCGUGCAGACUGGAAGAUUGUUGCAUCCACUUGGAGGGUUGGAGGUGUCAGAUGCCUCCCUUUUAAACCAUAUGACCUGGUUCCUGUCCUUUUUAUGCAGUUUGGCCCCAUUUCUUGGGAUGAAAUCAGUUGUAGAUGACCUCCUACUUUCAAACAGAUUGAAAAUGUGCCUGCAAGUCUAGUAACAAACUCAUGUGCUAAAAGGGAUGGUUUCCAUGUUCCAAAACUUUAAAUCCCUUAUCAGGAACACUGGGCCCUGUGACAGGGUUGUGGGAACCCUGCAAACCCCAUGAGUGAUGACCCACGUAAUAUUAAUAACCCUCAUCCCCACUCUGACCCAAACCCUGGACUCCAUCCUCAGCCAGGCUCUCAUGGAAGGACAGGCCCAGUCAGGGAUUGAUGCACAAGCUUCAGGAGCAUCUGUGGAGAAAACCUCUGCAAACUUUAAAGAGAAAUGCAUCAUGAAUGAUUCCUAGUUUGUCUAUAAAGAGGAGAAAAGAUUAAAAUAAAUGUAUAUGUAAGUAUAAACAAAAGAUAGGAGUAAAUAGAACGAAAAAAGUUUUAAUGACUUUUUCUAGCUGGUUGGAUUAUGAUUUGGGGUUUUUCUUUUCUAUUUUUUUUAAUUGGUUUAAGGUAUUCAUUGUUUAACAUCUAUAAAUACUUUUACGUUUAUUUUUAAUCUUCUUGUAAGACAUUAAAUACACUACUAUUAAGACUAAAAUCCUUUUUGGCUACCAUCCCCAAAUUCCCAGGGGUAAUCACAUUACUUUGGCAUGCAUCUUUCUGGAUUUUUUCUUAAUAUAUAUUUACACAUACAUAUGUAUGCACAUAUAAAACAGUAUUGUUUUGUUUCUACAUAGGUGGCAUCAUACAAUACAUAUUCUGCAAUUUUUGUUCCAUAUCAGUUGCAUAUAAAUGUACCUCAUUAAAAGAAAUACUGUUCCAUCAAAUGGAGAGACUACAGGUUUAGUCCCACUGAUCCUGCACUAGAAUCAUGUAAGGAGUCUUAAAAUCAAACCAAUGCCCAGGCCCCAUCCCUGGGAACUGAUGCAACUUUUUUUGCUUUCCCUAUUGCCCAAGUGUUUUAAUUUGUUACUGUUUUAUAACAAUAUCACUCUGCGUAAUCUUGCACAUAUAUGUGGGUGGUAUUCUAGGAAGAUUUUUUUUUAAGCACUUACAUUGCUUAUUGCAAUACCAGUUUACACUCUUACCACAGUAUGUGAAAAUAUCCCAUACACUGCUCUACCUUGGAUAUUAUCUAAUUUAAAAAAUUUUAAACUUUUUGCUGCUUGGAUGGAUUAAAACAAAUAGUAUGUCAUUUAUUUUCAUUCUACUGAUAAUUUUUAAGAUUUAUAUCUUUUCUUAUGUACAGUGAGAGAUUAAGGGCACAAGUUACACAGGUUUGUAUCCCAGCUGAGUUAUUUGCCUUCAGUCUAGUUGUUAAUCUCUCUGUGCCUUAGUUUGCUCACUUGUAAAAUGAAGAGAGUAAUAGUGCCUAGUUCAGAGGCUUAUUGUAAGGAUGCAAUGAUUUAAUAUAGGUAAGGUUUUAGAACAGUAUCAUCACAGAGCAAGCAUACCACAGAUGUUAGUUACUUGUUUUGGUCUUCUGUGUUUUUUUUACUAUUGUUACUUAAUCAGAAAUAUUUGGAUAAACACACACAUACAAAUUGAAGACAUAUCAUGAUUUAAAUAAGUAGCUAAUAUUUGGGAUCCCAAAGUGAUUUAAAAAAAAAAAAAUCUUGGAGUUCCCGUUGUGGCGCAGUGGUUAACGAAUCCGACUAUGAUCCAUGAGGUUGUGGGUUCGGUCCCUUCCCUUGCUCAGUGGGUUAAUGAUCCGGCGUUGCCGUGAGCUGUGGUGUAGGUUGCAGAUGCGGCUUGGAUCCCGCUUUGCUGUGGCUCUGGCGUAGGCCGGUGGCUGCAGCUCCGAUUAGACCCCUAGCCCGGGAACCUCCUAUGCCGCGGGAGUGGCCCAAAAAAUAGCUAAAAAGACAAAAAAAAAAAAAAAAAAAAAAA
rnacentral:lncRNA from 1 species